UCGUGCUUAAAAACCUGGAAUCAGAUACCACGACAAUACGGAAAAAUUGGAUUACAGACCUGUGUCGACACCAGCUUGUUUAAAACUCCUUUUCUAACUGGGAAAAUACGGUGGCCUGGUACCAUGAAACAGGCUCAAGAGUGUAACUUUAAGGACCCGGCACAAAAACACAAAUUUCUGUUUUUCUUUUUCUUUUCAGAGAAAUAUUCUCACCACGAAGCCCAGGCUGAAGUAGAAAUCAAUACAGUGAAGGGAUAGCCUGUAUCUCACUGACUUCCAGCUGUCUUUGCCUCACCAAUGGUGGGAUAAAACUUGUUUCCCACCAAUCUGUCAAAUUCCUAUUUAGAACGCUAUAUUAACUUGACAGUGCAUAUUUCUCAGUUGAAAAAGUAAUGCUGGGUAAAAAUUUCAAUGUUAAAUGUUAGUGUUUACAACUAUGCGCAUGGAACUCAAAAAUGCUAAUUUUGGAUGUGAUUUCAAACAAGCUGUUCUCACCCACAGAUGCUAGACUGCUGCAAUCCUAGAACAUCAUUUCUGAGUACAAAGCACUAGUCCUCCUUGAUUCCUAGUCCCACCUAUCUUGCUUUGCUAUUGGCCAACAGUUCUUAUCGACAAAUACACAAGACUUCGCCCAACAUAAAGCCAAGUGCCCUUCCCAGAUGCUAGACUGCUGCAAUCCUAGAACAUCAUUUCUGAGUACAAAGCACUAGUCCUCCUUGAUUCCUAGUCCCACCUAUCUUGCUUUGCUAUUGGCCAACAGUUCUUAUCGACAAAUACACAAGACUUCGCCCAACAUAAAGCCAAGUGCCCUUCCCAGGUAUGAAAAUUAUGAACCAUAACAAUGGUCUGCACUGCGUGAUAGCCUGAAGGCUGCAAGAGCAGCACACAGACAUUGGUGGUAACCAACAGCUUAUAAUUGGACUUCAGGAGGAAUCAACCACAGGAAAGUCAUUUCUGCAUCUGAAAGCCUAGCCUGUUUCUGAGCAUUAGGCAAGGAUAUAUCUUGAAGGAGAACCUAAAUGUACAAUGCAUGACUCACAUGAAUAUCCAUAUAAGAUUGAUUUUCCCACUAGUAGCAAUUUUUAUAUAUAGAAAGUCUUCUCAUAGCUAUAGCAGGAUAAUUCUGAGAUCUUUCUCGUUGGAAGUCUAUAGAAUUAUUCCUAGUAGAACAGAAUGCGGGAAAACUGAAUUGUGUCCCACAGGAUCAUUCUCUACCGUCUCCUCCCUCUCCACUUUCUAGGACUUUUUGUCUGGCUCCGCAGGUGCGCAGAACUGGGGGAUUGAUUGCCCCCAACAUGAGAAAGAGAUCAUUCACAAGGAAAGUGCCUGGAUUGUUAACACAGAAGUCUACACGAGUAGUUAAAGUUAUAGGACUCUACAAGUGAUUCCCCAUUUGACAUAAACAGGCAUAGCAUGGAAAAUCACUAGAAACCAGCUCUUCAGUGAGUGUAACUUGAAUGCCACUUCCAAUCACUUCCCAGUCAAACCUCAGGAGCAGAAAUGGA